rnacentral:rRNA from 1 species
UACGUAGGGUGCAAGCGUUGUCCGGAAUUAUUGGGCGUAAAGAGCUCGUAGGCGGUCUGUCGCGUCUGCUGUGAAAACUCGGGGCUUAACCCCGGGCCUGCAGUGGGUACGGGCAGACUAGAGUGCGGUAGGGGAGAUUGGAAUUCCUGGUGUAGCGGUGAAAUGCGCAGGUAUCAGGAGGAACACCGGUGGCGAAGGCGGAUCUCUGGGCCGUAACUGACGCUGAGGAGCGAAAGCAUGGGGAGCGAACAGG